UUUUUUUUUUUUUUAAGAGAUGGGGUUUCUGUCACCUGGGCUGGAGUGCAGUGGUGUGAUCAUAGCUCACUGCAGUCUCAACCUCCUGGACUCAGUAGAUCCUCCAUACUCAGCUUUCUGAGUGUCUGGGAUUACAGGUGUGUGCCACCACACCCAGCCACUUGUGAGCUCUUGAUGCACACAUCAGCACCAGUUAGAGCCUCAAACAGCCACAAAAACACAAACUGGGAAGGACUGACGGGUGGUGGUUUGGCUCAGCUGUACCAUCUGGGAUGUUAAUACAAGUCUGAUAGAAUCGACACUGAUAUUUACUAAAACACCCAGGGGUGCUUUACAUACAUUAAUUUUAAGAAAAUGAGAUUCUUGACUCAAUCUGAGUAUGUGGCUCACCAUCCUUUGCCACAUCCUGCAGAGAAAGUCCACAUGCAGAUGGGGCAGCAGCCAGCCAGAGCUACCCCUGUGGUGAUCAGUGGUCCAAGGCUAGCCCCUUCCCCCACACCUCUACAUGGCAGCUUAGUCCACUGCCUUUGAUGUCCUCUGGUUUUACCCUGGGGAUUACUUCUUCCCUGUCUUAUAAAUAGCCAAGCAUUUGCCCUGGUUGGCUGGUAAUCCGUGGGGCUGGCUCUGAGAUGUCAGCAUAGGUGCUGAGUUUCAGCUCAGCAUAGGAUGCACACAGCAUAGGUGACCAAAGUAAAAGAAACACAAAAUGGGCCAGAUGAAGUGGCUCACCUGUAUUCCCAGCAAUUUGGGAGGCUGAGGAUUACAGGUGUGAGCCACCACGCCUGGCCUACUACGUCAUCGUAUGUCAGGGUCUUGAGCAUCCUUAGAUUUUGGUGUCCUCAGAUCUUGGUGUGCUGGAGCCCACGGAUCCUGAGAGACAACUGUAUUUUCAUCACCUCCAGUAGAAACCCUGCGUCCUUGAGCUAUCCUUCCAUAUUCUCCCAAACUCCAGUCCUAGACAACCAUGAAUCUAGGUUCCGUCUUGGCCUGGGAACAACGGCAUGUUUCCCUGAGUGAUGCCUCAGCUUUACGACUGAGUGCUUGGUGCAAGGGUCCACAGUAGCCUCUGGUCUCCCUGGUUUGCCUCUCCCAGCAUGGAAACUCUGCCUCAGGAGCCAGGACAGGCCAUCAGGUCGCCAGUAUUCACAUCCCAGGAUGGGGCCUGGCUAGAGCCUCCAUCCCACGAGGGGGCAGGAGGAUGAAGGGAGCCCCCAACUCUCGCCUGUCCCUGCCCUGAACUUAGCCUCAGCCUCAGCAACAGGAACUGGGGCAGGAGGAGAAACGCUGGCCUGCUGCUUCUCUUGGGAGGGCAGUCCUCCCACUGGGGGCUGGGGAAGACAGAGCCCCGUGCUCUCGGCUGCACUGUUCUGGAGUGGAGCUUCUGUCUUGCUGUGCUGGAGGUCAGAAGUCCAAACAUCAGUCUCACUGGUCAAAGUCAAGGCAUCAGCAGGGCUGACUCUUCUUGGAAGGGCUUUGGGAGAAUCCAUUUCCUUGUCCUUUCCAGCUUCCACAGACCAGCUAUGUCCUAGAUUCAUGACCCCUUCCUGCACCCUCAUGACCAGCGGUGUGGCAUCUCCUCUCCUCUCUGAGCUCCUGCUUCCCUCUUAGAAAGACGCUUGUGAUGACAUUGGGCCCAUCCAGAUUGGCCAGGGUCGUCUCCCCAUCUCCAGAUCCUUACCUUAAUCCCAUCUGCAAGGUUCCUUUUGCCACAUAAGCUAACAUAGCCACAGGUUCUGGGGAUUAGGACACGGAUGUCUUUGAGGGGGCCAUUAUUCUGGUGGAAAGUAGGAGAGAGACAAAGUGGCAGCCUCCAGCUGAGAGGCAGACACAUCUGCACUAAUUCCUAUCUUGGCUCAUCCGUGGACCCAGCCAGGAGCAGCACAGGAUGUUUCCUGUCCUGUAGGACUGCCUCUCCCCAACCCCCCACCACCACCCUGCUGGAGUUCCAUCUUCACCCAUGCUGUCAGCAGAGACUCUUGCUUUGGGUCUCCCCGAGCCUGGGUAACAAUAACUCCUAUUUAUGAACACCUACUGUGUGCCAGAUAUGGUUGGGCUAGAAGGUUUCCAACACUGUCUUGAAGCCAUGUAAGUACUCUUCAAGAAGACAGUAUUGUUCUCAUUUUAGAGAAGAAGAAUCCAAGGCUUAGGAGUGUGACUCGCCUACCUCAUGUGGUCAGAAAAAAUGGAUGAGUAAGGAUCUGUGGUGGUUUCAAAAUACGUCCACAGAUUUUUUGGUACUCCACCCUUCCACAGACCGAGCCUCAUCUCCUCCUCCCAAGGGUGGUUGUAACUGGUCGUUGGCUUCUAGAGAAUGUAGAGAUGGGUGCAGAAUCUGGCAGAGAUGGCGGCCUGUGAUGUUUGAGAGUAAGACAUCAAAGGAACUGUGGCUCCCUCUUCACCUUCUCUCUCAGACCAUUAGCCUGGGGGAGCCGAGUGCCCUAUUGCAAGGGCACUCACACAGCCCUAUGGAGAAGCCCACCUUGCGAGCUUCCUGCCAUGUGAGCCAAGUUGGAAGUGGAUCUGCCAGCCCCAGUCAAGCCUUCCAACGAUGGCAACCUGGGCCAAUAUCCUCACCUUGACUGCAACCCAUGAGAGCCUCUGAGCCAGAACCAUCCAGCUAGGCUGCUUCCGAAUUCAUGACAUACCGGAACCGUGAAAUACUGAAUGGUUAUUGUUUUAAGCCACUAUUUUGGGGAUUAUCUGUUGUGCAGCAAUAGAUAGAUAAUACAGCAUCUGAGUCUGUGCUUAUUCUGCCAACAGAUGCCACCUCCAAAACUAUCAAGUUAGGUCACAAUGUCUUCGGAAGGCUGGGAGAAGCUGGCGUGGAGGGACAGAAGGUGGGAGAGUUUCUGAAGAUAAAAAGUGAAGGACAAGUGGCUAAGGGAGUGGGGGCAGGAGGGUUGGCUGAGGAAUGACUGGGCCCCAGAAGACUGGGUGGGUGGCAGCCAAGGGGAGUGAGGAAUCAGCUACCAAGAACCGUGGGAAUGGAGACCCAGGCAUUCCCUCCCUGGACCAUCUGCUCUGGCGCUCAUUUUCUGGAGCCCUCGAAGGAUGGCGGCUUGAUGAAGGGAGGCAUGAAAGGGUCCUGGGGAAAAGUCCUUUAAGAACACUAAACGGGUGAGUGGCUUCCUUCUCCUUUUAAGCCAUCCUUCAGGGCAAUUCAGAAAACGCUGCAUUCAGUUAUCCACACACAGUUUUCAUUCAAGCAUAAGUUAAUGUGAGUCUUCUAAGAUGUAAAUUCACUGAUAUAGACUGUUGUGGUUCUUUAACACUCUUACUUAUUUCCAAGAUCCAACAUACCUACCCCCACGUCCUGAAAAGCAAGCAAACCAACAAACAAACCACAAGUCCAAGUCAGAUAUCAGGCAUUUGUACAUUGACAGGUUUAUUCUUAAAGCUUGAACAAAUACAUCUUCACACACACACAAGUUGGUAAAAAGUAAGCCCUUACUGGUUUGUUAAAAAUAAAACCCAUACAUAAAGCUUUCUGAUCAAAUUCCCGAAACAUGAAAACAUCACAUUUCUACAAUACAACCGCUUUUUUGAUUCAUGUGUGUUUUCAACAUAACUGAACAACUCAUUCAGAUCUACCCAAACAAACAGAAAACUAACUUCAAGACCAUGAAGGGAAAAAAAAUACAUGCCUCUCAUAACUGUUAAGACAAGGAGCUACAGAAUUCCGAAAAUUCUCAAUAAAUAGUUAAUAGUAUAAAAAUGCUUAACUCCAUAUAGCCCACCUUGAAUUAAAGGCUGUACCAGUUAUCACUAUAAUAAAGCACUCAAAGAACAUCGAAAUAGCUAUGCAUAUCUAC
rnacentral:lncRNA from 1 species